ensembl:lncRNA
GUGGCAGAGAGGUAGCAGGAAUCCUGAGAGACGGCUGUAACGAGGAGGCAUCCAAGCAGUUGCAGGGCAGAGCCCACUGCCUUCCACCUGUGAGAUAAUGGGCAAUGCAGCACAGAGUGCAGCCUUCUUUUCUUCCAAGAACAAUGCCAGCAUGCCAUCUUGUCCGUCCUCUCAGCUGCCCACGGAGUCUUGAGCCCUCUUGUGUCACAGGGGAAGCCACCACGUGACCCACAGGAAGUCCCCGAUGGAGCCAACACAGGUCUUGAAGUGCUCCUGUCUUCCUGUUCCAUCACCAGCACUGGAGAACCCCACCAUCCCCCCGCUCCUAGGACAUGCCAGAAGCAGUUAUGAAUGGGAUGCAUGCCCUUGUCCCCACAGGGACUCAGUCAGACCUGCUGACCUGCUGCAAGCCCCUAGACAGCUGCCUCCAUUGGAGGAAGGACGCUUGGUGGCAGAGCUUACACCCAGCCCAGGGUCACACCUCUCUGCAGUGUUCCUGGGGAUGUACAUAGCCUCCCGUGCACAAAUGGCUGUCCCUGAUUUGAUGUGACCGCACCAGGCUGUGAGUAGCCAUCAGAAGAGCCCAGAAUCCCCUGUGGUGCGCUAGGGGGUGGCAGGUUGUCAAACAAACUGGCACAUGUCUUACUCCAAAGGGGUGACUGCUGCAAAACACAUAUCUAUCACAGCUAUCAAUUGGGAUGCUGAGUGUACUGGGGCUAUUCAGCUCCCGGCUGGAAACCACCAGCUGCCAGUUAUUACCACCGAGUGUAAAUUGGGUCCUGUUAAAAUGCAAUUUCCGGAGCUCUCCAGGACUUGUUUUUCUGCAAAUGCCUUUUGUCUGCAUUAAACGCCUUCCCAGGCCGAGUGGGACGAGCAGCUAACAGAGGAGCCAAAGUAAAACACAGAGGCAGCUCCUGGCUUCCCCAGCAGCCUGUACUGAGUCGUGCUCCUGCCUCGUCUGCACGCUGGGACACCCUUCCUGCAGGUCUCCCUUUUCACAACGCCCGGUGCCUCUGUGAUGGUGAGAUGGAGCAGCGUUUCUCCCAGCAGUACUGCCAUCUGCUCCUGGUGACCAUCCCUGCCCGGCUGCAAGGCACAAAGACGCCAACGGAAGGUGGUUCUCCUGGUGUGGAGCGGUACAGGCAGGCUGCAGAGGGAGCACCCUGGUCGUCUCUGGAGCCGAUGCAUUUUGACGCCGUUCUGAAGCAGCGUACCCACAGGACUUUGUACAGGGAGAAAUUCGAUUUCCACGCUUUGAACAGCAAUAGAGAGUAGAAUACAAUUUGUAUGCCGGUUACUACGCUCAUUCAUACAUCCAUCA